AUGACGUUUAAAAAUGGCUCCACGAACGCCGCCCCCUUUGAGCCACCUUUCUCCCUCCCAUCCAGCCGCCUUCCCCACAUUGUUCGAGCUAUUUUCCUCCAAGUUGCCACACGCUCAGAGAACUGGGAUGGGCUGGCUGGCUCAGAGGACAAGGAGACCAGCCACGGAUGUGAGGACAAUACAGAGCUCCCUGCUGGCUGGGGACCCUGGCUCAGGCGGGGAAGGCAGCCAUUAGAAGGCCUGGGGGAGCCAAAGUGGAGGGACUCGUCCCAGGGUUGGUGGGGGGGGGGCGGCUGCUUCUGCCCAGGGUCUGGAGAGUUCUGGAAGCUCCGGGAGCGGCACGUGCCUGGAGAUGCUGGGCCCCGCUUUGAGCUGUUCUGCAGCGGCGAAGAAGCAGGAAGAGGAAGAAAAAGUCAGCGUCCGUUAAGAUUGAGUGUGGGUCCUGAAGAAUGAGUUAUAAAACAGAGCCAUUUUCAAGUGGACCUCCUGGGAGCACUUUGAAGAGAAGUCACUGACCCUUCCAGCCAGCCUAGAUGCUGUCCCUGACAUGCACACCCGUAGGUGGCUAGGCUGUAGGAUGCUGUGAGAGUGGGCACCGAGCAGCCACUUUGACAUCAAGGAGAGGUGAGGACAGCAGGAUCCCACAGGAGCCCCAGGCCCUAAUCUAAGAAGAAGUCCCGCCCCCCCCAACUUUGAGGUCCUGGUGUGGGGUUGGCCAGGGGUGAGGACAACAGCCUGUGGCAGGUUGUCACAUCGUCUGAGGAAGCUGAGCCCCAAAUACCCCCACCCAGAGCUGGAGCAGAUGACAGCCAGUGGCGAGGAGACAGGGCUAGGAGCAUCCCCACCCAAAGAUAUGUCUCCCAGCCUCCUCCAUAGCAUCCCGCCCCCGCCCACCCAUCUACCUCCACCGCUGGGCUUGUCCGCUAAACCAGCUGGGUCAUCCAGGAAUACUGGACUCGCCUCAGCAAGUAUUAACAACUUCUUACACGGGGAGAGAGGGAAGGGCUCACAUUCUCCUCCCCACAGCCUGGCUGCUCGGCGGUAAGUUACAACGAAAGCACAGCUCACCCCGCAUUUGGCCACACACGCACACAUUUAUUCGCAAGCACACAUUACAUAUUAGGAAGUGGGCCCCAAAACUCUCGGCUCUGGAACUCUGCACAGUGCCAGGUCUCUGUUCCUUUAGAUGUUCCUUGCGUGAAAAAUUUACCCAAGGCAGAUGCAACGGUAUCCUAGUGCUGAAUUCAACCGAGAUUCUAGAAGGAGGCAGGCAACGAAAUUCUGCACGGAUGACCAGCCACGGGAGCAGACGGAAAUUCUGAACCUGGAGCGCGGUCGGCGGGCUGCGGGACCCCGGGAUUCUAAGAUGCUGCCCCGCAAGAGUGACAGCGCCCAGUCGCGUCUCCAGCCAAUCGACACAUUGCUUACGCCCCUGCCUUCGCCAAUGAAAAGUCAGUCUACGCCCAUUAUGCAAAUGAACUAGCCCUCUGGUGCUGAUGGGGGAUAAAGACGACCGAAAUGCUAGCAGUGGUCCCUAUGAAUCGUGGGCUUCUGAUGAGUCCUUCAAAUGCUCGCCACCCUCCCCCCGCCGUGGUGUCCGUACUCCUGCUUGCGUUAACUGACUAUCCUAGAGUACAGAUUAAAAGUAACGAACAAGAUAUGUCACGUUGUCUAUCUGAAGCGUUGUGAAACAGAUCAGAGGUCACUUAGUCAUUUAAGGAAAAGCAUUAGAUUUGCAAAGCCUGUGGCUUUAGAAGCAGCCUUGGGAAUUGGGGAUUCGCCCCCCCCCCCCCCCCCAACCCAAGGAAGGUACACAAGCAGGGGGCGCGAUCUAAAGAAAAUUCCAUCGGGACCUGGGACGAUGACUUUGAACCAGACUUCACGCAUGUCCAUCUAAGUGUUGUGGCUAUUCCACGAGUGGCUGUUGUGCCCAGAAAAGACCGUUCAGAAGUUUACUUCAAGUUUAAAUAACUAGAGUUCAAUUUAUUAAACUGCCAAAUUCUUAACCGGAGUCCAGUCUUAAGCUUUUCAAUCUGCUUCCAGAUCUUUUCUUGUUUAUAUCUUGCAGAUUUUAGCAACCGCUUCUAAGAGAUCUUUGAAUAAUAUUUGGGCCUGUUUACAAAUGUAAGUAAUUAAUGAAACAUGCCUCAAAUAAUUUAUAUGGUGUUUAUAAAUGUAAUGUGAGCGGUUUCCCUCCCUCGAGGGGGUGACUGGAGGAGGUGGGGCGGCGCGCUGUUUCUGGGGUUCCAGCAGUGUUAGCUUUCUUGAUCUGGGGCUGGCUCUCUUUAACAUCUGGGGAUUUUUCUGAAUGUAUGUCUCAAAAGAAAUUCUUCAAGUCAUCUGUUUGAUGUCCUUUUUAAUUCAUUUAACUGCUUUUAACAAAAUCUCUCAGGGUACUUUAAUCCUUUUACAUCUAGUAGGUGAAACGUGUAUGUGGGGUGAACCUAAAAUGCUCUUAAAUAUUCUAUUACUGAGCAUAAGCUUCGUAAGAUUUCAACUGAAACUCACACAUCAAAGUUAAUUACUCGAUUACACUUUAAAUUAGAAUGACUAGACUCGCGCUUUAAUGGGCCAAAUUAUCUUAGCAGUACAAAGAAGCAUAGAAGGGAAAAAUAAAACACCAUGGUUUUGAUGCUCA
rnacentral:lncRNA from 1 species